UAAUAGUGCAGGUCAUUGCACGCUGUAUACUCGUGCAAUCGAAUUAACGUUUAAGCGGUAUGUAAUAUCGUCGACCACGAG
rnacentral:ncRNA from 1 species